GACGAACGCUGGCGGCGUGCUUAACACAUGCAAGUCGAACGGAAAGGCCCUGCUUGCAGGGUGCUCGAGUGGCGAACGGGUGAGUAACACGUGGGUGAUCUGCCCCUUACUUUGGGAUAAGCCUGGGAAGCUGGGUCUAAUACUGGAUAGGACCAUGCUGUAGGUGGUGUGGUGGAAAGAUUAGUUUCGGUAAGGGAUGAGCUCGCGGCCUAUCAGCUUGUUGGUGGGGUAAUGGCCUACCAAGGCGUCGACGGGUAGCCGGCCUGAGAGGGUGGACGGCCACAUUGGGACUGAGAUACGGCCCAGACUCCUACGGGAGGCAGCAGUGGGGAAUAUUGCACAAUGGGCGCAAGCCUGAUGCAGCGACGCCGCGUGGGGGAUGACGGCCUUCGGGUUGUAAACUCCUUUCAGCCAUGACGAAGCCCUUGUGGUGACGGUAGUGGGAGAAGAAGCACCGGCUAACUACGUG
rnacentral:rRNA from 1 species